rnacentral:snRNA from 1 species
UUAUGUUUGUCUAGUUACGUUACAAAAUGCAACAUCAUUGAAGAUUAGCAUGACCCCUACUCAAGGAUGACACGCAAAAUCGUAAAGCGUUCCAUAUUUUU